UACCAGCACCCCGAGUGGUCGGGACGAUUAUUGGGCCUAAAGCAUCCGUAGCCGGUUCUACAAGUCUUCCGUUAAAUCCACCUGCUUAACAGAUGGGCUGCGGAGGAUACUAUAGAGCUAGGAGGCGGGAGAGGCAAGCGGUACUUAGUGGGUAGGGGUAAAAUCCGUUGAUCCAUUGAAGACCACCAGUGGCGAAGGCGGCUUGCCAGAACGCGCUCGACGGUGAGGGAUGAAAGCUGGGGGAGCAA
rnacentral:rRNA from 1 species